AGGCUGGGAGUCUGUCCGCUCCGGUGCCCUUCCUGGGCUCGGCGUUACACGCAAGCUUNUUAGUCACGAGUUACACAGGACGUUAAGUGUGGUUCAGAGCGUCGACCGACGCAAGAAGUAGCUGGGCACUCGGCUCACUAGGUGGUGAAGCUCAACA
rnacentral:rRNA from 1 species